rnacentral:rRNA from 1 species
CGAAACCGAGUGAUCUAGCCAUGGGCAGGUUGAAGGUUGAGUAACAUCAACUGGAGGACCGAACCGACUAAUGUUGAAAAAUUAGCGGAUGACUUGUGGCUAGGGGUGAAAGGCCAAUCAAACUCGGAGAUAGCUGGUUCUCCCCGAAAGCUAUUUAGGUAGCGCCUCGGACGAAUACUACUGGGGGUAGAGCACUGUUAAGGCUAGGGGGUCAUCCCGACUUACCAACCCUUUGCAAACUCCGAAUACCAGUAAGUACUAUCCGGGAGACACACGGCGGGUGCUAACGUCCGUCGUGGAGAGGGAAACAACCCAGACCGCCAGCUAAGGUCCCAAAUUACAGCUAAGUGGGAAACGAUGUGGGAAGGCUUAGACAGCUAGGAUGUUGGCUUAGAAGCAGCCAUCAUUUAAAGAAAGCGUAAUAGCUCACUAGUCGAGUCGGCCUGCGCGGAAGAUGUAACGGGGCUAAGUUGUAAA